rnacentral:misc_RNA from 1 species
CGCACCAACCCGAGGAGCCGGAAGUGUUUAUCGAAUUGCCUACUGACAAAAGUUUACAGUUAAUCAAUAGUUUUACAUAAAUAUUAAUAUUUCCAGACAGUACAGUGCAACAUGUGGUCCGAAAUCGCUGACAAAAUUAGGUAAUAACAGGAAAUAUAUGGAAGGCAAUAUAAGGUAUAUGCAUAGCUUGGAAAUUGUAAUCGUUGCUCGCUCGCUCCGCUCGCUCGUAAAAAUCUAGUCCAACCUUACAACCGAUCCGAC